rnacentral:misc_RNA from 1 species
UUUCUGUAGGUGAACCUGCGGAAGGAUCAUUAAAGAAUUUGCCCCGUCCUCUCGAGGAUGGGUCCUCUUCUAAACCGUGUAUACAUACCUUUGUUGCUUUGGCGGGCCGCCGUCUCGGCGUUGGCUUCGGCUGACUGUGCCCGCCAGAGAACCCCAACUCUUCUGUUUAGUAUUGUCUGAGUACUAUAUAAUAGUUAAAACUUUCAACAACGGAUCUCUUGGUUCUG